ACUACGGGAGGCAGCAGUGAGGAAUAUUGGUCAAUGGGCGCGAGCCUGAACCAGCCAAGUAGCGUGAAGGAUGACUGCCCUACGGGUUGUAAACUUCUUUUAUAAAGGAAUAAAGUGAGGCACGUGUGCCUUUUUGUAUGGACUUUAUGAAUAAGGAUCGGCUAACUCCGUGCCAGCAGCCGCGGUAAAACGGAGGAUCCGAGCGUUAUCCGGAUUUAUUGGGGUUAAAGGGAGCGUAGAUGGGUUGUUAAGUCAGUUGUGAAAGUUUGCGGCUCAACCGUAAAAUUGCAAUUGAUACUGGCAGUCUUGAGUACAGUUGAGGUAGGCGGAAUUCGUGGUGUAGCGGUGAUAUGCUUAGAUAUCACGAAGAACUCCGAUUGCGAAGGCAGCUUACUAAACUGCCACUGACAUUGAUGCUCGAAAGUGUGGGUAUCAAACAGGAUUAGAUACCCCUGUCGUC
rnacentral:rRNA from 1 species